rnacentral:rRNA from 2 species
UUCCGGUUGAUCCUGCCGGACCUGACUGCUAUCGGAUUGAUACUAAGCCAUGCGAGUCAUUGUAGCAAUACAAGGCAGACGGCUCAGUAACGCGUAGUCAAUCUACCCUAUGGACGGGAAUAACCUCGGGAAACUGAGAAUAAUGCCCGAUAGAACAUUAUGCCUGGAAUGGUUUAUGUUUCAAAUGAUUUAUCGCCAUAGGAUGGGACUGCGGCCUAUCAGUUUGUUGGUGAGGUAAUGGCCCACCAAGACUAUUACAGGUACGGGCUCUGAGAGGAGUAGCCCGGAGAUGGGUACUGAGACACGGACCCAGGCCCUAUGGGGCGCAGCAGGCGAGAAAACUUUGCAAUGUGCGAAAGCACGACAAGGUUAAUCCGAGUGGUUUCUGCUAAAGAAACCUUUUGUCAGUCCUAGAAACACUAACGAAUAAGGGGUGGGCAAGUUCUGGUGUCAGCCGCCGCGGUAAAACCAGCACCUCAAGUGGUCAGGAUGAUUAUUGGGCCUAAAGCAUCCGUAGCUCGUUUUGUAAGUUUUCGGUUAAAUCCAUGCGCUUAACGUAUGGGCUGCCGGGAAUACUGCAUAACUAGGAAGUGGGAGAGGUAGACGGUACUCGGGAGGAAGGGGUAAAAUCCUUUGAUCUCUUGAUGACCACCUGUGGCGGAGGCGGUCUACCAGAACACGUUCGACGGUGAGGGAUGAAAGCUGGGGGAGCAAACCGGAUUAGAUACCCGGGUAGUCCCAGCUGUAAACUAUGCAAACUCAGUGAUGCAUUGGCUUAUGGCCAAUGCAGUGCUGCAGGGAAGCCGUUAAGUUUGCCGCCUGGGAAGUACGUACGCAAGUAUGAAACUUAAAGGAAUUGGCGGGGGAGCACCACAA